rnacentral:rRNA from 1 species
GACGAACGCUGGCGGCGUGCCUAAUACAUGCAAGUCGAACGCCGUUGCGAACGGGUGAGUAUCGCGUCGGUAACUGCCUCAUAGCGGGGGAUAACUAUUUGAAACGAUAGCUAAUACCCCAUACUUUGAGAUGGACCUGCGUUGUAUUAGCUAGUUGGUGAGGUAAAGGCUCACCAAGGCGACGAUACAUAGCCGACCUGGGAGGGUGAUCGGCCAAACUGGGACUGAGACACGGCCCAGACUCCUACGGGAGGCAGGAAUAGGGAAUCUUCGGCAAUGGGCGGAAGUCUGACCGAGCAACGCCGCGGGAGGGAAGAAGGUUUUCGGAUCGUAAAGCUCUGUUGUUAGAGAAGCGGUACCUAACCAGGAAGGGACGGCUAACUACGUGCCAGCAGCCGCGGUAAUAC